UACAGAGGUGGCAAGCGUUGUUCGGAAUUACUGGGCGUAAAGGGCGCGUAGGCGGUUCGGUAAGUCCUGUGUGAAAUCCCUCGGCUCAACUGAGGAACUGCACGGGAGACUGCCGGGCUUGAGUUCGGGAGAGGGAAGCGGAAUUCCGGGUGUAGCGGUGAAAUGCGUAGAUAUCCGGAGGAACACCGGUGGCGAAGGCGGCUUCCUGGACCGACACUGACGCUGAGGCGCGAAAGCGUGGGGAGCAAACAGG
rnacentral:rRNA from 1 species